rnacentral:rRNA from 1 species
GAUGAACGCUGGCGGCGUGCCUAAUACAUGCAAGUCGAGCGAACAGACGAGGCGCUUGCUCCUCUGACGUUAGCGGCGGACGGGUGAGUAACACGUGGAUAACCUACCUAUAAUAAUGGGAUAACUUCGGGAAACCGGAGCUAAUACCGGAUAAUAUAUUUCACCGCAUGGUUCAAUAGUGAAAGACGGUUUUGCUGUCACUUAUACAUGGAUCCGCGCCGCAUUAGCUAGUUGGUAAGGUAACGGCUUACCAAGGCAACCAGGGGUAGCCGACCGGAGAGGGUGAUCGGCGACACUGGAAGUGAGACACGGUCCAGACUCCUACGGGAGGCAGCAGUAGGGAAUCUUCGGCAAUGGGGGAAAGCCUGACGGAGCAACGCAGCGUGAGUGAUGAAGGUCUUCGGAUCGUAAAACUCUGUUAUUAGGGAAGAACAAAUGUGUAAGUAACUAUGCACGUCUUGACGGUACCUAAUCAGAAAGCCACGGCUAACUACGUG